CGUGCAGGCGGUUUGGUAAGUUGGAUGUGAAAGCUCUCGGCUCAACUGAGAGUGGUCGUUCAAUACUGCCAAACUAGAGGACGGUAGAGGAGAGUGGAAUUCCCGGUGUAGUGGUGAAAUGCGUAGAUAUCGGGAGGAACACCAGUGGCGAAAGCGGCUCUCUGGGCCGUUCCUGACGCUAAGACGCGAAAGCGUGGGUAGCAAACAGGAUUAGAUACCCUGGUAGUCC
rnacentral:rRNA from 1 species